rnacentral:rRNA from 1 species
UACCAGCACCCCGAGUGGUCGGGACGUUUUAUUGGGCCUAAAGCAUCCGUAGCCGGUUCUGCAAGUCUUCCGUUAAAUCCACCUGCUUAACAGAUGGGCCGCGGAAGAUACUAUAGAGCUAGGAGGCGGGAGAGGCAAGCGGUACUCGAUGGGUAGGGGUAAAAUCCGUUGAUCCAUUGAAGAUCACCAGUGGCGAAGGCGGCUUGCCAGAACGCGCUCGACGGUGAGGGAUGAAAGCUGGGGGAGCAAACCGG